CUAUGGUAGACUACAACCAUGGCGGAAGGAG
rnacentral:ncRNA from 1 species